UACGUAGGGGGCAAGCGUUGUCCGGAUUUAUUGGGCGUAAAGAGCUCGUAGGUGGUUCGGUAAGUCGGAUGUGAAAUCUCCAGGCUCAACCUGGAGGGGUCAUUCGAUACUGGCGUGACUUGAGGUCGGUAGGGGAGUGUGGAAUUCCUGGUGGAGCGGUGAAAUGCGCAGAUAUCAGGAGGAACACCCGUAGCGAAGGCGGCACUCUGGGCCGAUACUGACACUGAGGAGCGAAAGCGUGGGGAGCGAACAGG
rnacentral:rRNA from 1 species